GGCGCUGCCUCGGGCGAUCCCUGCCGGGCCAUGAUGCUGCCCACGGCCGGCCCCAGCCCCGGGCAGACCUGCGGGGCCGUGCUGGCCGCCGCCGUGCUCCUGCAGUCCGUCUGCGUGGCCGUCACCUUCCUCUACUUCACGAACGAGCUCAAGCAGCUCUGGGACACAUACUCGAAGAGCAGCGUUGCUUGUCUCACCGGGGAGGAACUUGGAAAUUUCAUCCAAAACUUGGAUGUAAUUGAAAGCGAAGACAGAGCAGCUGACCCCUGCUGGCAAGUAAAGUGGCACCUGGGAAAGUUAAUUAAAAAGAUGAUGUCGAGAAGCUUUGAGGAAAACAUAUCUGCAGUCAAUGCUGACAAAGCCCUGACGCUUCCGCGCACAGACGGACAACGGCCGCAGGGUCCUGUCCAUAGGAUAGCAGCACACCUGACGGGCAACAGCAAUAGGAGGAGUUCCUUGUCACCACACAUAGAUUCCUCACCCCGAAGAGGUAACGGACACAAAAUAAACAACUGGGAAUCGUCAAGGAAAGGCCACUCUUUCCUUUACAACGUGGAGCUGAGGAAUGGCGAGCUGGUGAUACCUCAAACGGGGUAUUAUUACAUCUACUCACAAAUUUAUUUUCGCUUCCGUGAAAAUGAGAACGAGGAUUCAGGUUUGUUGGCACAAAUCAGAAACCCCAAGCAGCUCGUCCAGUAUGUUUACAAACUGACUGAUUACCCAGAGCCCAUUUUGCUCAUGAAAAGUGCAAGAACAAGCUGCUGGUCUAAAAAAGCAGAAUAUGGACUUUACUCCAUCUACCAGGGUGGUGUGUUUCAGCUGAAAAGGGACGACAGGAUUUUUGUCUCGGUCAGUAACAGUGACAUAGUUGACAUGGACAAGGAGGCGAGCUUUUUUGGAGCCUUUAUGAUUGGUUAAAAGAUGAAAACCGUGCUCCAAAGGAACCGGUUUUCAUAGCCAGGACCACCUCAAAAUUCCAUAAAACAGGAUAGUAAGCAAAUGCUGUAGCAAUACCGACAAUACCAGGAUCCCCCUUCUCAGCUCGCUCUCGCCGUGCCGAAACACGCUCCCACCAGCCGGGAAGGAGCCUGGCUGCCACCGGGCGGGCGAUGCUUCGCACAGGAGAUGCGCGGGGACGUCACGGGGGGUCAGACCCCGCAGGUAAGCACCUGGCUGUGAUCUCUGCAGAGGUGCUCCACGCUGGCUCAGGUCGGGUGGCCGAGGGGCUGCUCCGGGUGUGGGUGCUUGAGGCUGAAACUGGAGACACAUUUCACCCGUGGUCUGCACUGGGAGGCUGUCGGUAAUCUCUCUGCUCCAGCAAGGAGCCGUGCAAGUCCCACUUCCCAGAUGCCAGUGGAAUUAUUCUGGGAGUUUUUGUUGGAACCUGAGUUUUGCAAAAGGGAAAGGCCAUCCCAAACUCAUGCUGCACGUCUUCAUCUCAUCUGCCAAAGCACUUAAGCGCCUAAUUAAUUUUAAGCGCACAAACAGGCUGACUAAACCCGGGUAUUUACAUGCUUGAAAUUAAAUAUGUGCUUAAGCAUUUUUCAGGAUCAUGGCUUGAAUAAACACAUUAGUCUGUCUUAAUCAGUAUAUUGUACAUAAAAACAGCUGCUGAAAGGGCAUAGAAGAGGUUUUGAAAUCAAUCAGUAUUUUGAGAUCAACACAUUAUGAUAGUGCUUGUUUACUUAAUUGCCGUACUGCAAAGAUUUCACCGUGCUUCCAAUAGGUUCAGUAAUGCAGUUGCUGUACGCUUGUUGACAGAAAGUACCUGAUACCAAAAAAAAGUGAUUUUCUCUAGAUACUGAAUUCUAUUAGACAUUUGCCACAAAUUGAGCAUGACAUGGUUCUUCCAUGUUUAUUUGUACUGGCCUGUAUUUGGUAAAGAUGCAAUGCAGAACAACACACCCUGAUGACUAAUGUUUUAAGGAAAACAUACACAACUAUGUGUACUUAACCAGAAGCUGCAGUUUAGGUAAUACUAUUGAUUUUUUAUUUUGUUUGUAGAGAUGGGUGGAAAUUUUUCAUAACUUUUCUUAAACUUAAACUGGCCGCUACAAUUAUUAACUCUAUGAUUAGAACUAUUUUCUAUUUAAAAAAUACAGAGAAGGUAAAGGUUUGCAGGUGUAGGUUGUAUGGGCUAGAUAGAUCCUCAGCAUAAAUCAGUACAUCCGCAGUGGUGUCGGUGGAGCUAUACCAGUUUGCACUAUCAAUGCAUUUUGCCCAGGUUCAGAGAAACCAACGGGAAACAGAAGGUGAAAGUCAGAAAAAAAUGGAGGGAAAGGAAGACAUUUGCUUUUCAAAUGUUACUUUCAAUCAACAGAAUUACUCCAGGAGAAAACCCGGUUGUCUAUUUUUUUAACAUAUUAAGGUUCCCACGGCAACCUUGCCAUUCACCUUCCCAUUGUGAUAAUUAAAUCACUGUACAGCCCUUGCAAAUGGGCCUCGUGAGUAGACGUGCAUCAUUCAUCUCACUGCUUUGUCAACAGGAGGAAAUGAAGGGGCACAAGCCCCUGCGUUUAUUUUGUUGUUCGGAAGAGCAGUUCGCUUCGUUGGGCACUUAAAUACCUGUGUAUGAGCAGUCAGAGAAGAACUUCAGCAACACCCUCCUUUUGACAGGCUAGGACAAAGAAACACUGGGGUGAGCUUAAAACAAUAACAUCGUCUGCUGUUUUAACAGGGUGUCACAUAUACUUUUUUCAGUGGUAAUCAAAUAUGUGAAUUUCUCCAUCAUUUACUGAAGUACUUUCUCUCAAAUUCAAAUAAUCUAUUUCAACACUGAACAGAAAACAUAUCUAUAGUUUUUUUCCUGAUUUCAGUACUUAAUUCAGAAAUUUUCUGCCUGGCAGACAAGGCUAGGGAGAACAAAGCCAUUCCCUACAUAACUGGAUGUCUGCUACAUUGGAAGAACAACUUUUGUAGCUGCUUAUCUUUUCAAAUGGGCCAAGCAUUUUAGUUGCAGGACAGGAGUGACCCAUGUUACCAAUUUCUUUAAAAAAAAAAAAAGUCUGUUAAAAGUGUAUUUUUUUAAAAGUUAUUUUAGGAACUUAUUUGAAAGAAAUACGUUUGAACUGUGAAAAACCAUUUCCGAUUGCUGGUGGCAGCUUAAGAGUCAGAAGCCCUCCAUAUGGCUGAGAACCAAUUUGUGUAAUGUAGCAGUUGUGGGCAGCUAGAAAGGACUGGAAGGGAAUCCGGAGGGGUCUUCGCACACUUGCAGCUGACAUUAAGACAAACUAUUGCACACACAUUUUAUUUUUUUGCUUGAUGUUCUCUCUCCAACUCCGAAUAUAUAUCAUGCUCACUGUUGCUUAGGGAAUGUUCCCGGGCAUUAUCUUCUUUUUUUAUCUGCAUGUACGUAUUCUUGGUCCCUGCAUGCAGAGCAUAUCACAACAGGGAUCACACUGAAUAAUCAUAUUUUAUUUCUGAGUAAUCCAAAGGCAUGCUUGCCAGAUAUUAUCCUGGGGAGAGACUAUCAAGCGAUAUCUGAGAGGACACAUUUGAAGACAAGUGGAAAGAUAUAUCAACUUCUGAUUGUACAUUUGCACCGAGUCAUACUUUUCAUCUCACUUUUUGUUGAAUGGUAAAUGUAGCAAAUUUUUAUUUGUGGGUGUAGGUUGCAGUAACAUGUAAGUAUUGUAAUUUUUCUACAUAUAUUUUCUAUAAAAUGUUUUUAGUAAAUACUUAUUUUGCCUUGUCGUUUUUAUUGGCUUCUAUAGGAGCAAACCAGUGUGUCAUUGUUUCUUUGGUUGGUGUCAGGUAUAAUCCAUUAAAUGCCACAAAUGCCUGCAAUGCAAAGGACAUAAUGCAAGCCACUGUGCAACACCACAUCAUAUAACACCGUGUAAUUGGCUUCCUGACCAUAGAACAGCAGGUGAACAGCAUCUGGAAGCAGUGCGCUGAAGAAAACACUCAAAAAGAUUUCAUGACCAGAGACUACAGUGCUGAACACUAACCUUGACGUUCUUCUCAUACUUCUGGAAAAAUCUGUGACCGAGUUCACAAAGAGGGACGCUCACACGCUGGUGCGACCCAGCGGCAUGAGGAGCUGAAGCACGCUGAAAAAUGCUCGAUACAGCUUUAACACUGCAGAAGAGACGCACCAAUAUUUUAAGAGUUCCCUGAAAGUGACUUCAAUCUUCUCUGUGGUUGAUAAGGCAACAUAAAAGUACUGUUGCUGCAGCUGAGGGCAGGUAGGUAAGUAUCAGGAGUCUAAAGCCACCUUCUCUCACAGCUAUUAUAUCUUCUUUCACUACUAUCUCCACACCUGUCUUUCACUACAUGCAAAGCAGAUGCAGGAUGUCAUGCAAAGUUAGUGGAAGUUCAGCUCUUUAUAUCCCCUCCAGAUUUGGCCUUCAAUUGUCAAAGAAUCAGAAAACUGGAACUGCUUUUUUUCUCUCAGCUGUUUUUCUGGCUUCGACCCCAAGAAGGAAGAGCAGCCUCAGGAGCCCUUGAAUCAUGCUGCCCUUCAAGCGAGCAGGGGGUUGGUGCUGCUGGGUGCAAAGAACGACUGCAAUCUGUGGUCCGAGUGGGUCAGCACUCAAGACAUCAAACUCACAAUGAAUUAGGUGUUAAUUCAUUGCAUUACAAGCUCGAGCUGUCAGGUGCAUAUAAAUCUGCUGCUACCU